rnacentral:rRNA from 1 species
GAUGAACGCUGGCGGCGUGCCUAAUACAUGCAAGUCGAGCGAACGGACGAGAAGCUUGCUUCUCUGAUGUUAGCGGCGGACGGGUGAGUAACACGUGGAUAACCUACCUAUAAGACUGGGAUAACUUCGGGAAACCGGAGCUAAUACCGGAUAAUAUUUUGAACCGCAUGGUUCAAAAGUGAAAGGCGGUCUUGCUGUCACUUAUAGAUGGAUCCGCGCUGCAUUAGCUAGUUGGUAAGGUAACGGCUUACCAAGGCAACGAUGCAUAGCCGACCUGAGAGGGUGAUCGGCCACACUGGAACUGAGACACGGUCCAGACUCCUACGGGAGGCAGCAGUAGGGAAUCUUCCGCAAUGGGCGAAAGCCUGACGGAGCAACGCCGCGUGAGUGAUGAAGGUCUUCGGAUCGUAAAACUCUGUUAUUAGGGAAGAACAUAUGUGUAAGUAACUGUGCACAUCUUGACGGUACCUAAUCAAAAAGCACCGGCUAACUACGUG